GUCCCCGGCGUCCGGGCGCCCUGCAUGGAUCCCCCACCCCAGCUCCUGCUCCCCGGCGGCGGCCGGUGGGCAGAAAGACCGAAACCCACUCACGGCCGCCUGCCGAAUCGCGGCUCUGCUGUUUGUGGGGCGUGCUAGAAACGUGGUCCUAAAAAGAAUGGCGUCCAUUUACAUAAUGCUUUGUUUGCGUUUCGCAAGUUUCUUUCGGUUAAAGCCACAGAAACCCCACCUCCUGCCCUUGUGUCGUUUCCACCGCGGCACCCUUUUCCGACAUUAGAAACAAUAGUGUACGCCUGUGGAGGCCUCGUUUGUUCAGGGGCUGCCGGCCAGGGCUUCAGGACGUUUCUGCGGCUUUCCCCGCGCGGCCUGGGCUCCCGCGGCUGCUUUUCGGGCCCAUGGGCGCAGCCACUGCGCCAGGCUCAAGGGGGGCGGCCCCGUCAGGGCCCGCCAUCUUGGAAGGCCUUUUUUGCCGGUUCUUCCCGCUGAGGAAGUGUCGCUCAAGACGCUGGCCUAUGAGUUGUGAUUUCUGCCUUUUCCCCUUCCUCCUUGGGCUAAGCCAGACCAGAAAGGGCCCCGUGCGCAACGUGCUUCACAAUCUCUCAGGGAAAGCGGCUAACGUGGCGCUACUCCGCCUCCCCUGUUCCUUACCCUUGGGGCGGCCGCCAUGUUUCCUGAACACAAAAUGGCGACACGUGGUUAGCAUUCGUCGCCAACGAGAAAUUGGGGUCGGCCCGAAAGCUCUAGAAUGCACCCCUCUUCCUCCCCGGGGCCUUCCACCUCCGCGAGUUUUAUGACUUAAAAAAGCCCACAGGCUGGUCUGAAGGUCGGAGGCCUAAUUUUAACGCGUUUUCCUCCCUUUAAUUUGAAACGGGAACGCGAAUGACUGUAAAAUGUGGGCACAAUAUUUAAUCUCUCGCCUUUUUAAAGCUUAAUAGUGGAUAAUAGGGGGGCAGUAUCAAGGGAUAAUUUGGGUCCCCACAGUACCAAAGCAUUUAGAAACCUCUGUUUAAUUUAAGGAAUGAGAUAAGUUACUGCUUUUCUAGACUUCCUAGCAUGGGCUGUUGUGCUGGAGAGAACGAGAGCUACGAAGAGACUACAGUGCCUCUGACUUUUUCAUAGGACAGUUGGCCGAGGAAGACAAACAUAAAGAUGAAGUGCUUAAUUCAAGGUCACACAAUGUCGGGGAUGGACCUCCAGAUUUCCUUACUGACCUGCAUUAUCUUGUGGAUACCUGAGUGAAUUCCACACCACCCAUUUUAUAGAUGAAACCACUGAGACAUGGAGCAAUUGACUGAGUAGUCACUGCCCCACCCCUGCCUGGAGCCUCACACAUGACUCGCCUCCUCUCAGUGACCACAGGUGAGACGUGGUCUUGUAACACAGUGGUUAAGAAUGUGACUUUGGAGCCAGCCUGCUAGGGGCUGAAUUCUGACUCAGCCAUUUACUAACUGUGUGACCUUAGGCUGGAGUGCAAUGGCAUGAUCUCGGCUCAUCACAACCUCUGCUUCCUGGGUUCAAGCGAUUCUCCUGCCUCAGCCUCCCGAGUACCUGGGACUACAGGCACUCGCCACCAUGCCCGGCUGAUUUUUGUAUUUUUAAUAGAGAUGGUUUCACUAUGUUGGCCAGGCUGGUCUCGAACUCCUGACCUUGUGAUCUGCCCACCUCAGCCUCGAAAAGUGCUGGGAUUACAGGCGUGAGCCACUGCGCCCAGCCUUGUAUUUUUUUUCAGUUUGGGUAGCUGUCCCUAAUUCAUUUGUUAAAGGAGAAGCAAGAGCAAGAACCUUUAAUCUGUUCUCCUCUUCCCUAAUUUGAAAGUAGCUUGUUAUUUUGAAUAUCACUUUCUCUGAAAUAGCACAUCUCCAUCUCAGAGAAUGGAUUUAAUGUUUGGAUACAGCCAAAAGUCAUUUCAUUACCAAACCAUGGGGUGAAUAUACCAUGUAAAGCAGUUUGGGAUCAGAACUCACAGUCUGAAUUGUAAGUGAUGAGACUGCUGUCUCUCUGCUACAGCUUCUUGGCUGGCUCUGAAGGCUCUUUGAAGGCAGAUCCUAACAAGGGGACUGCUUUGAAGGGCCAUUGUUCAUUUGGAAUGAUAAAGUCUAUGUUGUUCAAAAAACAAAUGCUUGUAGCAGGUAUUUUUUCACUCCAGACUGAGAAUAUUGGUGGGAUAUUGAUAAGGGGUACUGAAUGGUAAUAAACAUGUGCUCUAGCUCUGUGCUAGUCAGCUUAUUUCAGAACUCUAGUUUGAUUCAGUUUCUUGCCUCUGACUCAAAAUGGAGGGAGAGUGAUUUUUACAUAAGAGAACACACCCACAUAUCCUUUUGGCAGCAGCUACCUGCCAGAGAUGUUGAAGAAGAGUAGCCAACCUUUACACAGCAGAUAUUGUGUGCCAGUCAUAGUCCUAAGUAUAAUACCUUACAUGUAUAAACUUCUUAUAAGGUUGGUGCUCUGUACCGAAUUGAAUAGUAUCCCCCAAAAUUCAUGUUGUCCCAGAACCUAUGAAAGUGAUCUUACUUGAGGGAGGGGGGAGGGGGGAGGGAUAGCAUUAGGAGAUAUACCUAAUGCUAAAUGACGAGUUAAUGGGUGUAGCACACCAGCAUGGCACAUGUAUACAUAUGUAACUAACCUGCACAUUGUGCACAUGUACCCUAAAACUUAAAGUAUAAUAAUAAUAAAAUAAAAAAAAAAAAGAAAGUGAUCUUACUUGGAAAUAAGGUCUUUGCACAUAUGAUCAAGUUGAGAUGAAGUUGUACUGGAAAGUCUGUCUAGUGACUGGUGUUGUCAUAAGAAGAGAGGGACACAGAGGGAAGAUGGCCACAUGAAGAUGGAGGCAGAGAUUGCAGUUAUGCUGCUGCAAACUAAGGAAUGGCUCUGGCCCUCCAAGGAUUGCUGAUAACCACCAGAAACUAGAAGAGACAAGGAAGGAUUCUUCCCUAGAGCCUUCAGAGGGAGCAUGGCCCUACUGACACCUGGAUUUCAAACUUGUAGCUUCCUAAACUGCAAGAGAAUAAAUUUCUGUUGUUUUAAGCCAUAUAGUUUGUGGUAAUUUGUUAUGGCAGUCCUAGGUAAUUAGUGUACACUCUUACCAUCUUCAUUUUCAGAUAAAGGAAACUGAGGCCCAGAGAAGUCAAAUACUUUGAGAUCUCUGUAGGCCCCUACUGUGCUGGCUGUGCAUAGAUUCCAUACCUCCUGCUGUUGCUGUUGUUGGGUCUCCACCUUUACCAUGGCCAUCACCUCCUGGCAGUGCUGGAGCUGAGCUGCUGGAAUAACUUGUUUUUCUUUUUUCUUUUUUUUUUUUCUUUUAAGACAGAGUUUUGCACUGUCCCCCAGGUUGGAGUGCAGUGGUGCGAUCUCGGCUCACUGCAACCUUUGCUUCCUGGGUUCACGCCAUUCUCCUGCCUCAGCCUCCCAAGUAGCUGGGACUACAGGCACACGCCACCACGCCCAGCUAAUUUUUGUGCUUUUAGUAGAGACGGCAUUUCACCAUGUUGGCCAGGAUGGUCUCGAUCUCUUGACCUUGUGAUCCACCUGCCUUAGCCUCCCAAAGUGCUGGGAUUACAGGCAUGAGUCACCACGCCUGGCCUAUGACUUGUUUUUCUAACACACCAGGCCAUAGCCUUUCUUAAUGUUUUGCCUGCUUCAUACUGUAAAUCAGAAACUCCUCUCGGGAGGCUUCUGACUGUAGCCUGACCAUCUCACCUGAUCUCUUCUCCAAUCCCUCUUCCCCUCUCCCCUUUAUUUUCCCUUUGCUAUUUUUACUUUUCAUGCAGUGUCAGAGAAGUGUAGUGACUAUGUCGGGGGAGGAUCCCCCAGCUGCCUCUGGUAGUUGGUUUUAUACUUCCCACUUUUGGCGUGCUGUACCUUCUAGAAUUUCUGUCAGUAGACAAUUUUGUGUUUUUCUUUGGAGCUUUCAAGAUCUUGCACAUAGCUUAUAUAGUUACAUGGCUGUGAACAGAGAACGGGCAGUUUCAUGGUGGCAUUGGCUGUGAGGGCACUUACAUUGAUGAAUUCAACCCACCACAGUGGCUGUCUCCCCUGUCAAAGUGAGUGAGGGGAUGAGAGCAUUUUCUGAACCAGCUCAUCUUCCUGAAUAGCUUCUUGCAUGCCCCUGGGCUUUUCUGUUGGCAUUUAAUUGCUGGCUGUGGAAUCUUGCCUGUUUUCCAAUAUAGACCUUUGGCUUUAGAUCCUGUUCUUGUUCUUACCCACUCUCACUAAACUGAACUCCAGGAACCACAUCUCUUUUGUUUGCUGCUGUAUCCCAGGACUGAGCAAAGGCCUGAUGCUUACUAACACCUCAAGAAAUAUUUAUUGAAUGAAGAAAUGAAUAUUGACCUGGAAAGUUCAAACUCUUGGUUUUCCUUGCUUCUUCCUGAAGUCAGGGGCCAGAUUAAGAAUUUGUUUAAUAGUCUUAAGCAAUAGAAAAAUUAUUAUGUCCCUCAUACUUUCAUCCCUCCGUAUGUAUUUUAAAAACAGCGUAAAUGCAAAACAAGUAUAAAGAAACCUAGCAAAAUAUAAAGAAAAUGCAGCAAAAUUCUGAUUUUUACCUUGGUUACCACUUUCAUAAAUAUAAAGUAACUUAAAAUAUUUGUUGUUGUUGUUGUUCUUGUUUUGCCAGUUCCCUGAGCACAUGCUGUUGAGUAAUCCUGCCUGGACCAGUACUUCCCUCACCCUAGACUUCACCUUCAGUUCCCCUUUAUACCACCUGCUGAAGCUGCCAGCCAGCCUUUUCGACCACCCUCCCUCCCCCAGGGGUGUUUGGCUUCUCAGACCCCAGCCUGAGCUAGUGCCCUUGGCUUCCUAGGGUCUUGCCAGGAAAGCAAAGGAGAACAUGCAUACCGCCAAAGAGUACCUAAUAAUAAGAACUCCCAUCCUGAAUUGUGAUUUAUAGUCAGCAUAGCACAUGUGUCAGGUGAUUAUACUUAGGCUGAUUUUAGCCUUAAUAAUCUGCUUCUGUGAUCCUGUAUGUGGGAAGCCUAGAAAUUUCUCUGUGAUCCUCCUUCCUGGAUCACUAAGAGACAAGUCAAGACAUAGGUCCAUUCUACCACCUGUGUUAAUCUGGGCCUUGUUGAGACCAUUUAAAGAAAGGCGUGAUGCUAGAAGUAAGGUCCAGGCCUCCUGCACACUGUUUCAAGGCUGUGACCAUAGUCAGAUCCUGUUGCUUGAGUCCAAAGAGUUUAAAAUAGUGUUGGAAACCUCCUAGGGAAAAAACAAAAAACAAAACACCACAUCUUCCUGGGUAAGGAAGUGACAUGUGCUGACUAGAGCAGGAGGGGUAGCCAAGGCUCCAAGUUCUAUUCUGGACCUGUUGUUGAUUUGAGGUGUGACAUUCAGCAAUCUGAGCUGAUGUUCUGUAGCUCUGAUUGGUUUCUCAUCUUCUGCAGAGAGAGUGAAAGAGGCUGUGCUUGCAGGGGAAAAGGUGAACACUGGUCUCCUGUCCUUUAGGAGAGCUUCACCAUUACACGUCCUGCCUCUCAUUUGAAUUUCCAGGCUUUUUUAGAGUCUCGCUCUAUUGCCCAGAUUGGAGUGCAGUGGUGUGAUCUCGGCUCACUGCAACCUCUGCCUCUGGGUUUAAGCGAUUCUCUCACCUCAGCCUCCCAAGUAGCUGGAAUUAUAGGUGCGUGCCACCAUGCCUGGCUAAUUUUUGUGUUUUUAGUAGAGACAGGGUUUCACCAUGUUGGCCAGGCUAGUCUCGAACUCCUGACCUCAAGUGAUCCACCCACCUCGGCCUCCCAACCAGGCUUUUUUAAAUGCAGAAACCGCCCGCCCCCAGAGUUAAUAUGGAAACCCAGCAAUGUUGUUUAUGUUUUACUUGAAUUCGUUUCAUCAGAAUUGCAUUCCUUUUAACAGUGUGAUUAGAUCAGCUCUUAGAGGGGAUGGCAGCUUCAGUAGGGUUUAGGAAAGGAAAGGAAUAUUUGUGUGGGGCACACACUUUGGCUUUGAUAGCUUGAGGAUACCAGGUACAUGAUAAUUUAGAUGGAUAACAGAAACUUGUGUCCCUUGAGAGCCAGGCAUGUAUUAGAUGCUUUCAUACAUUAUUUAAUUGUAAUACAAACCAAUAAAGUAUUCCCAUUUUUUGCACAUGGGCAAGCUGAAAGUCAAAGAAGUUAUGUAACUUGCCCAAGGUCACACAGCUAAUAAAAAGGCUGAGCUAGGAUUUAUUUCUCCUCAAGUCUGUACAACGCCAGAGCCCAUGCUGUUUUCACAGAGCUUUUCUGUCCCUGGUGAGAUUUAGGAAAGGAGGGUAGGAGAAAGAAGGGUGAUGAGAUGCCAUUUUUACCCACCUUGCGAUUUUGCUUGUUGGGACGUGUUUAGCCAGAACAUUCUGUUUAUAGAAUACUAGAUUCUAUAUAUAGAGAUGCUGCAGCAACAUAUGUGGGAAAGAUACCAAUUGGCUGUAGGUGAGGAUUUCAAAAAGCCUUUGUUCUUCAUCACAGCAUAGGCCACACGUGUCAAAACACCACUGGUAAUUGGUUUACUGCUUAAGUGGCUCUGUCCUAUCAUCUACAUAAAAUCUGUUGAUGUGGCUCACAAAGUCAGGUGUGAUGGGGCCAGAGGUGAGGGUGUGGUGUAUCCUCACUGCAUGUACUGGAGCUGGUGGCACCUGUUGUGUGACUACUGCAGUGAAUGAUUACUGAGUAAAUAAGAGGUGUCUCAGCCAGGCGUGGUGGCUCACGCCCGGAAUCCCAGCACUUUGGGAGGCCGAGGUGGGCGGAUCACCUGAGGUUGGGAGUUUGAGACCAGCCUGACCAACAUGGAGAAACCCCGUCUCUACUAAAAAUACAAAAUUAGCUGGGCGUGGUGGCUCAUGCCUGUGAUCCCAGCCACUUGGGAGGCUGUGGCAGGAGAAUCGCCUGAAUCCGCGAGGCGGUGGUUGCCGUGAGCCGAGAUCGUGUCAUUGCACUCUAGCCUGGGCAACAAGAGUGGAACUCUGUCUCAGAAAAACAAAACAAAACAUUAGGUGUCUCCUUUUUUCUUCUCCAAGGGAGACCAGAUAGCAGUGGGUGCUGGCACACAUCCAGGGAUCCUGGCCCCUGGGCUAGCAGAAGAGAUGGCUUGAAGGUGUCAGGUGAUGGAAUAAAAAGAGCUGGUCUGUCAAGUGGUAUAAUUUCAGGGGACCAAGAAUGUGUCCUGCCCCUCAAAAACUUGCCCUAGCUGUUUGCUAUUGCUUGGGAUCCCACAAUUGAAAUUUCUUUUUCUUGAUUUAAAUCUUUGAGACCCUAUUAAAAAUGAAGAGACUCCAGGAAGAGUUUUGAUUGUGAAACAUUUUGGUCAUGUUAACUGGAAGUAUGAAUGAGUUUAUAAGAUUGAUUUCUGAGAACCAGACUGAGGAAGGGAUAGGGAGGAGAAGGCACUGUGCCCCUAGUUGCAGGGACAAGAAGGAGACACCAAUGAGUUUGAGAUAAAGGCCUUGAAGAGAGAUGCUGGGUCUCUAAAGAAAUACUUGGUUUCCUUCACAGUUUUGUCUGAGAAAAGACAAGCAGCUGACAGUGCUGGUUAUGGAGGCCCAUGACCCCAAAAGAGGUUGUGCUGAGUAGAUAGCCCACCAGCAUGUUCGGAUGGAGGCACAAUGUUGUCUGGAGAGCAGCUGACAGCUAUAAUGUAACCAGGAGUGCUGGACCUUUGGGUCUGUGGUUUACUGUGAUGUACUGAGACAAAGACUGUCACAGAUCUUAGAAGGGGGAGGCACAGCUUCCAAGAAAUGAUGCAAAAUGGUGGCGCAAAAGAGGCCACCAGUGGCAACAAGGGCAGGGCAUUUCCUUUGUGGCUGGUGGUCACGGACAACUUCUGGUCUCAAUUUCCCAAUGAGCUAUGCUAAGAAAUUUACCAGAAAGCAAAAUAAGCCAUGCAAAAAGCGAUGACAAAGCACUUGGGGUAUCCAUGCAAAGGUGCAGUUCCCCCUUGUCCACUAAUUUUGUGGAGCCAAAAGAGCUGAUCCAGAAGCUGCAAAGAUAGUCCCUGUGAUUAAGACAUACAACUUUUUUUUUUUUAAAUGCGAGACUCUGUCUUACUCUGCCACCCAGGCUGGAGUGCAGUAGAGCAAUCUUGGCUCACUGCAACUUCCACCUCCUGGGUUCAAGUGAUUUUCCUGCCUUAGCGUCCCAAGUAGCUGGGAUUACAGGCGCGCACCACCACGCCCAGCUAAUUUUUGUAUUUUUAGUGGAGAUGGGGUUUCACCAUGUUGGCCAGGCUGGUCUUGAACUCCUGACCUCAGGUGAUACACCCGCCUCGGCCUCCCAAAGAAGGCAUACAGCUUUUUUGGCCUGAGUUCUUCCAAAGAGAGACCCUUCCUAGUUGACUUGGCAUCAUCUUUCAUUCACCAGUGUUCUCUAACUGCCUUUAUGAUUAGAAUUCUCACAGCGUUUUCUCCCCCAAGGGCAUAUUUUACAGAGGCAACUCAAAUCUCAGUGCCUUUCUGAACUCCUUACAAUUGGGUUUAUAGAUGCCUCCACCCUGAGGUUCAAUUUCACUGUCCAUAUUCCUAUUCUAAGUCUGGAGCACUUUAUUUUUGAUCCAGACUUUUAGCUUCACUGAGGCCUCUUGGGUUCUAGCUAAUUUUUUUGGACACAUUUCCCUAGUGGGCAGCCUAGGAAUGGCCUGUCCUCCCUAUCCCCCAAAGUUUGGCAAGGUCUGUACCCCCUACCUUAAUGGAAUCAGCACUACUUGAGAUUUCUGAACAUCCUACACCGUUUCCUCUCCCCUCAACCCCUGCAGCCUCAUACACGAGGUCUAGUGGAAAGCAGGAUCUGCUGAUCACUAGGAUAUUAGAGCCAGUGUCUCCAGUAGGGAAGAACUCCUGGGCAUGUGUUCUAUGCCCUGAAUGACAGCUCUCUGCCUAUCAGUUUCUGCUUUCCCUCCAUCUCACCUUUAUUUUGGCUUUUACCUAGAAGUACAAACUUUGUCUUGUUCCUCUGCCUGGACUUCCUAACCCUGUCCAGGACUAAAGCCCUGCUGUCAGUCCCUCACCAGGGACUUUCCACACUUUCCCUGGCCAGGUCACUUAUCUGAUACUAGAGCCUUUUCUUGCAUCUAGGCUUUAGUAGGUAGAGUUCUGUCCAUGCACAGAUCUCCCUGUGUUGACCACCUUGAACUUCGCCUAGUGCUCUUUGCGCUAAUUAGAUGCCAUGCUAGUCUGUCCUGCUGCCUUCUGGAACAAGGCUCUUAGCUUUGUUGAGCUCUUGCCCUGGAUUUCAUGUUAGCUGUCCAGCUGCCUGCACCUCAAAAAGAGCUUUUAAUAUGCAUUAUAAAACUCCAAAAGGGAAAUAGAAUAUAUAACAUUUUUCAAACGUAUUUAACUAGAGAUCCAUUUUUUUUUUCUGAAGGAAUAUUUAUUAAAAUCUUACAGAAUAUGUGUUUGGUGGAAUACAGUUUUGGAAAGAGUGAAUCUUUAUCCCAAAGGAAUGGACAUCAAAUAGAGUAAUUCCAGAUGAAGAUAAUGUUACUAUUACCUUCAUCUGAAAUUCCAGAUGAAGGUAGUAAUCACUAUUUCCUGUGUGUCUGCAUAAGGAUAGCUCUAAUCCGCAGUGGAACUCUAAAAUAGGGAGGAAGGAAGAAUUCUGCAUUCUUUCUUCCACUUUGAAUCCUCUUCUUCCCAAUGGAAACAGGAAGUGGUAAAUGCAAUGGUGCCAUCACGGCCAUGGUCGUCACUGGCUUCUGGAUACAAGAUAGGAGGGCUUCUCUGAGGCUCUCUUCCCUAGAUUGGACCUCUCAGAAUUUCUCUAGAGUGCUCCUGAGCACCCUUCCUUCUACUCUGGGACUAUAUUCAUCUCAGCAUCAGUCUCAAGUUUAACUGCUAGUUCAGGAUUUUGAUGUUACACAUGGGGAUCAGUGCCAGAUGGGAUGUAGCUCAUUUUUAUGGAAUGAGUAUGACAUAAAUUUUCUCCUUUCCCUAUUAAAUUUCUCUUCUAUAUCUUGUGGGCAGUCCAGACUAUAAUUUUUUUUUCAAUCCUUGAAUGGAGAUAAGCUCAUGCUCUGUGGGCAGGGCGGUGUUACAGGUGGGUCGCCAUUUAAAUCCGACUGGGUGGGUGACCACGUACCAGGAAUGGAAGUUGGCUUAGCUAGUAACCAAAGAGCAAGCCAGUUACUUCCCCUGCAUGCCAUUCCCAACCAGCACAGCUGGGGAAAGACCACCUGAAAGAAAUCUCUAAGACUUCUGAUGAAGAAAUUACUAGGUCCUCUUGAGACCCUCAUGUAUGUGUCUUUAUUGUCGUGAGUGAGAUCAUUAGUUGGCUGAUCUCAGUUGGCUUAGCUAAUCAUAAACUAGAUGGAAAGGCUCAGCUUUGACCAUGACCUUAAAUAUGGAUGGACCAUGUCCUUAGGUAUGUUCUUUGAGCAUCCAGUAAGCAGCAUUCUCCGUAGACAAGCCCCACCCUUGGGGCCUUAGCCUAUGGCAUUUGUCCAUUUUUGCCAUUUCUUCUGAAAGACUAUGGUUUUAACUGAAGACCAGGGAGUCAGCUCGCUUAUAGGAAGUGGGAAGAGGGCUUGAAAUGGGCAUUCAGAGAUCUUAAAUAGAGCUUGUAGUUUAUUUGGUCAGUCUACAAGUAUUUGCCACGUUAGUUUAGUUUAGUUUAGUUUAGUUUUGAGUCGGAGUCUCACUCUGUCACCCAGGCUGGAAUACAGUGGUGUGAUCUCGGCUCACUGAAACCUCUGCCUCCCGGGUUCAAGUGAUUCUCCUGCCUCAGCCUCCCGAGUAGGUCAGAUUACAGGGGCCUGCCACUGCGCCCGGCUAAUUUUUGUACUUUUAGUAAAGACGAAGUUUCACCAUCUUGGCCAGGCUGGUCUUGAACUUUUGACCUCAUGAUCCACCUGCCUCGGCCUCCCAAAGUGCUGGGAUUACAGGCGUGAGCCACCGUGCCCAGCCGGUAUUUGCUAAGUAUUAAUUGGCUUAUAACUGUGGAAAACUUGUUAACAGCUUUAGGAAGGCUGUUAGGGAAAGUCUCAGGUUGCAGUGAGCUGAGAUCAGGCCAUUGCACUCCGGCCUGGGUGACAGAGCAAGACUCCAUCUCAAAAUAAAUGAAUAAAAAUUUAAAAAAUAAAUAAAGAGACAAAGUCUUGCUCUGUCACUCAGGCUAGAGUGCGGUGGUGUGAUCACAGUUCACUGCAGCUUCAAACUUCUGAGCUCAAGCAAUCUUCCUGUCUCAGCCUCCCUGAGUAGUUGAGAUUACAUAGGUGGGUGCCACUAUGCCCAACUGUCUCUACUCCCUCUAUAUACUGUCUCUAGAUGAUGCCAUCUAUAUUUAUUGGUUCAGCUACCACUGAUACAUCAAGUACUUUAAUACCAUCAUCCUCCACCUAGAUUUUUCUCUCUUCUGAGUUUCUUACUCAUAAUAGCCAAACACUAUUGGCAUUGUAACCUGGAUAGCUCUUAAGCACCUUAAACUCAACAUGUCUCAAGCCAAAUUAUAUUGUUCAUCACACCAUUCUCUUUCCCUUUCCAAACCUCCUCCUCCUCCUCAUUUCCUUGAUUUAGGAGCAUCACUGUCUGGCGUCAUUUGUUAACAUGCUUUUGCAUUACUGUUUUCUAUUCCCCCACUGGGAAUUUAAUAGUCUCCGGUUGUAAUGUAAGAUGUUUAGGAUGUGGUUCUUUCUUUUCUUAUUCAAGAACAAUUAAAGGUUAAGCUGAGAUUCAGACUCUAAGUAAAAUGGAAGUCGUGGAGAGGAAGCAUCUGAGGGCUAGAACCUUGGAAGAAAACUUGAGAGUUGACUAAGGCCACCCUUAGGUGCAGUAGGGGCCAGAAGACCUUUUUAGGAGCAUGCAGAAUGGAGAAGAGGUGGGGCAUAUGAUCCUCAGUUUGUUUCUUGUGCAAGCAGAGUAAUUGGCACCUCCCCUGCUGGCUGUUUGUGUAAAUCACUGUGGAACCUCAUGUAAUCUGGUUUAAACGUCUAAGGAUUGAGCAUCCUAGUAUAACCCAUCAGCUAGCUGGAGUCAUCCUUCUCCUUAAAGUUUUGGCUGAAAAUGUCAUUCUUCAACUUACAGCAAGUUGUUCUGAUUCCUUCUUCAGAUUUCUUCAAAUUCCCAGGAGCUCUGAUUUUGAGCUCUUGCUUCCAUUGAAUUUGUUUAGAUUAUGGAUGGUUUACUAGAUCAAGUACACUGACCCUGUUUCCAUCCACAAUGAUACAGAUGUAGAACUCCCAGCUAAAGCCUUUAUAUGCGUUGCAGACUUUAUCAAAGGUUUGGGAUAAUGGAGAGAAUUCAACAUUGCAACAAAGUAAGCAACUUGAAUUCUAAUACUGGUUAUUCCUGUUCCUCAGAGUACUUUUGCCCACCCCUCCACUAGGGAUUUGUCAUUAUUCAUAUCACCCACAUAUGUUGGCUUUGUUUUUUUUUUUUUUUUGAGAUGGAGUUUUGCUUUCGUUGCCCCGGCUGGAGUGCCAUGGCAUGAUCUCGGCUUACUGCAACCUUUGCCUCCCACGUUCAAGUGAUUCUCCUACCUCAGCCUCCCAAGUAGCUGGGAUUACAGGCAUGUGCCACUAUGCCUGGCUAAUUUUUGUAUUUUUAGUAGAGACAGGGUUUCUCCAUGUUGGUCAGGCUGGUCUCGAACUCCCAACCUCAGGUGAUCCGCCCACCUCGGCUUCCCAAAGUGCUGGGAUUACAGGCGUAAGCCACCCCACCCAGCUGGCCUUGGUCUUUUAUAAUCUUAUCUUUCUCUCCUCUGCAAACUCUCCUUAGCAUAUUACCACUAGAACUCCAAAUACUUCUGUCAUUCUAUUUUGCAAGCAAUUUAACUCUCUCAAACUCUUCCUCCUAAAAUCACUUCUGGGUUCACUUCUGUGUGUCCAGAGCCUACCAAGGGGGAAUAAAGAGCUUCAUACGCUUUUUUUUCCCCCUUGAGACAUGGUUUUGUUCUGUUGCCAAGGCUGGAGUGAAGUGCUAUGAUGUGGUCAUAGCUCAUUGUAACCUCAAACUCUUGGCCUCAGGCAAUCCUCCCACCUUAGCCUCCUGAGUAGCUAGCACUUACAGGUGAUCACCACCACACCUGGCUACUAUUUUUUUUGUCUUUUAGUGACAGGGUCUUGGUAUGUUGCCCAGGCUGGUCUUGAACUUGGUAUGUUGCCCAGCCUGGUUGCCCAGGCCACUGGCCUCAAGCAAUUCAACUUUCUUGGCCUCCCAAAGUGUUGGGAAUACAAGCAUGAGCCACUCUGCCCAGCCUUCAUGCAUUUCUUUAGCUACACAAAGAAUAAUAUGUAGACCCUCUGAUGUUUACUUUUCCAUUAUCUUCCAUCUUUUGAAGGUAUUUCUUGUUUUGAGUAGCACUUACUGCUUAUCUGCAUAAUGGUUUUACAUUGAAGGAUCUAUGGAGGAAAAAUAGGAGGAUAUUCUAGGUAAAAGCAACAAUAAAAGCAGCAACCUUCACAAAACCUGUUGUGGACAAAUGAAAAACUAGUCCAACUGGGCAGAAGAAUUCUUGUCAAGGAGGAGAGCUCACAAUAGAUUAGAAAAUCCAGAAACAGACCUAGGUUUCAGCAGGAAAGGAUAGUGUUAGGACAAAUGAUACAGGACAGCUGGCUGACAAGAAAAAAAAUUUCUGUCACCAUAUAACAAAAUUAAUUCUAAAUGGAUUACAAGUUUUUACAUAAAAACUAAAGUAAUAAAUGUACUAGAAGAUAAUUUUUUUUUUGAAGUAUGGCACUAAAGGCAGAAACUAUAAAGGAAAAUGUGUGAUGAAUUAGCUAAAAAAAAGUAACAGCAUAAGCAAAAGUACAUGACAAACUGGUUAAAAACAGUUUUCAACAUAUCUCUAAUGUACACAGAGCUUUUACACGUUAAUAGGAAAAAAAAUACCACAAAAAAAUGGGCCAAAGUCAUAGAAGAAUAAAUUCAAAUGUGACUAACAAAGCAUAUAGAAAAAGGCUAUUUCAGCCAGGCGCAGUGCCUCAUGCCUGUAAUCCCAACACUUUGGGAGGUUUUUACAAAAAUGAAUUAGCCAGGAGUGGUGGUGCACACCUGUAGUCCCAGCAGUAGCUCAGGAGGCUGAGGCACGAGAACGGCCUGAAUGCAGGAGGCGGAGGUUGCAGUCAGCUGAGAUCACGCCACUGUGCCCCAGCCUGAGUGACAGAGCAAGACUCAUGCCUGUAAUCCCAGCACUUUAGGAAGUUGAGGCAGGCAGAUUGCUUGAGCUCAGGAGUUUGAGAACAGACUAACAAGUCACUGAUUAUGCCAAGGUGUUUAUCUACACCAAAAUUGGAAGGUUACCUAUCAUGAUGGAAAUGGGGCUAACUGGAAAGGGGAGCCACUCCUCUAGAAGGGGAAGAUGGAUUUGUUUCCUGGAGUUGAAUUUGAAGAGCUAGAGGUACAUCCAAGAGGAAAUGUUCCAUAGGCUGGAGAUUUCCAUUUAGAGAAAAAAAUUACUUCUAAAGUAGAAGCAAUAGGUGGGAGUGGAGACUCCCUAGAUUUGGCACCUUUGACAGGCUUGGAGGGGAGGUGGUAUUUUGGUUCUUCCCUUCCUGCCAGAAGUCUCCUUGAGAGAGACUGGAGAGGAGUGUGUGGUCUCAAUUAGAACCUGAAGAGUAGAGACUGGGGAGAGGUAGGAGUGGGCAGUAAUCAUAAACAACAGCCACAACAGCAUUUAAAAAUUACUUUAGGCCAGGCGCAGUGGCUCAUACCUGUAAUCCCAGCGCUUUGGGAGGCUGAGGUGGGAGGAUCCCUUGAGCCUAGGAGUUCGAGGCUGCAGUGAGCCAUGAUCGUGCCACUGCACUCCAGCCUGGGUGACAGAGUGAGUCCCUGUCUUGGAAAAAAAUAAAAAUUACUUUAGAAAGUGACACUAUAGUGACUUAAGUAACAGAAUCCUGUGUGUUUUAGAUUAUUACUUUUUUUUGUUUUUUGUUUAUGUGUACACUUCCAAUUUUGGUGUAGACAAACACCUUGGCAUUAUCAGUGACUUGUUACUCUGUUCUCCUCUUCCUGCCUGAGAGACUGUCAAAUCAGCACUUAUUCUAUAAAGUGUCUUUAGAUUGAUCCAUUUCUUUAUAAUCCCACCCGCCCACGCUAGUUGCUACCUUAUUAUUUCAUACUUGUAUUGCCAUUACAGCUUACUAACUGGUUUCUCUAAUUUCAUUUUCUGCUUCAUUCAUUUUGCAUGCUACAACAUAAAACCUGCCCUGAUCACUGCUUUUAUCACCACUAUCUGCUCAAGAGCCUACAAUGGCUCUUCAUUACCAAGCCCACCAAGGUAAAAUAAUUUUGUCCGGUUUCAGCCCACCCACCAUAUUCAAGUAACAGGGUGUCUCUUUUUCUGCCCACCUCUUCACUGCUCCUAGCUCCAGGCUGCAGCUUUUGCUCUGUCUGCCCCUCUUUGGAAAAUUCAUCUCUAAGAGACAGGGAGUGGAGAAAUGAGAAAUGAACUUUGAGG
rnacentral:lncRNA from 1 species